rnacentral:lncRNA from 1 species
AUAAGCACAACCUUUAGAAAAAUUGCCUUUGACAAUACCUUGGUACAUAGUUUUCAUCUGCACUGGUGGCCUCCUGUGUCAUUGUGAGGUCAUUGGCAUCUAAUAUUCUUACCUCAGACAACAUGUGCAACACCACAGUCAGCAAAUUAACCAUGAACCAAGGAUAUCUUUGAUUGCUUAUUUUCUUUGUUUCUUACAAACCCCCACACAAGAGGGGGUCAGACUGCAAUGCAGUCUGGGUUAUGUGAUUUCAACCCAGAGAAGAAAACUAAAGCCAAAGAGUUCUCCUGAGUACUUCUUACAAAGAGCAGAGCCUACACCGGAAUCCAUAUUGAGGCAAGUCCACUCUUUGCAAUGUCUGUGUACCAAAUCUUUCUCACUUUCACUUUUCACUAAGAAAUUACCAAUG